CCUCUUGCCAUCGGAUGUGCCCAGAUGGGAUUAGCUAGUAGGUGGGGUAACGGCUCACCUAGGCGACGAUCCCUAGCUGGUCUGAGAGGAUGACCAGCCACACUGGAACUGAGACACGGUCCAGACUCCUACGGGAGGCAGCAGUGGGGAAUAUUGCACAAUGGGCGCAAGCCUGAUGCAGCCAUGCCGCGUGUAUGAAGAAGGCCUUCGGGUUGUAAAGUACUUUCAGCGAGGAGGAA
rnacentral:rRNA from 1 species